GAGCAUUGUCUCUGGCCUCUCAGCAGAACCCAUUGCCUUGCCUUGUUGCAGUGUAUCCUUCCCUCCUGACCCCAGUCCUAGAACUCUGGGACAUUUGAGAGAACAGUUAAUAGCUCUCUUGGGCAGGCGCCAGAGUUGUGCUGGAACUCCAUUUGAAGGAUGGAGCAGACAUGGCCACUUGAAGCAUAAAAGCCACUCACUCACCUUGGAAGUCCAGGGAGGGUCAUUAAGGACGAUGUGGCCCUCGCUUUGCUGGAGUCUGCUUAGUGCUGGAUGGCUGCCAGGCUUGUAGGGGAAUUGGUUCUGGGAAGGAUGCUGUAUUCCUCUUAAUCUAUUCCUUCCCCGAUUUCCUCUUUCCUCCUCUUUCUUUCCUCCCACUCCUAAGAUCCUGACUCUGGAAUCUGGACCUCAGGAGAUGUGGCUUCUUCCUUAUGCAACACCGAGAAAGAGUGUGGAGAGCAUAAAUCAGUCCCCCUCUCUACAAAGACUGGCUAGACACAGCAUCCAGGGUCCAGGAACCAAGAGAGGCAGCAUAUCCAGAUCUCGGGUCUUCAGGGUCCUCUCUUGGCCCCGCCUUGUAGGCGUGACAGUUACCGAAGCCUCCGUGGGGGUUGGAACUUCCAGAUCAAAGCUGGAAUGGCUACCCACUACAUGUCAUCAGGGAGUAUGGCAGCCAUGUCAUAUUCUCAGAUCCCAUGCAGGUCAGAUACUCUGGGUAGGGCCCAGAGGCUGGUUGAAUGAGCUAUUGGGUGGGGUGGGGGGGUUGUUGCCUCUCCAGUCUGAGGACUCAUGUCUCAGGGAACAACCCCUCCAUGGCUUCUCUUUUUAAUAUUGCCCCAUAGUUUUAUUGUUUUAAAUGUCUUCAAACCCAGGGUAUUGUAUAAGUGAUAACACAAGUAGCUAAUGUUCUAACGGACUCCCCACUCUUGGAAGUCUCUACCCCAACCCAUGUCUGUCCACCUUGGUUGGGGUGUGGUUCUCCCUUCAAGGGCUGAUCAGCAGUGGGUGAGGGGAGCAUCCUGUGAGCCCCUCCAUUUUGUGGCCUGGUCCUUGGCAGCAGAAGAUGCCUGGCAUCCCCCGAGCUGUCUCCCAGGGCCCAGUGACCUCCAGUGUCUGAGCAGAAAGGGUUCAGGACUAAAGAGUCAUUGUUCAGCCCCAGGCCAGAGGACCUUGAAGCUCUCAGCUUGGUUUUGAAAGACCAGAGAGAGCUGCUCCAGAAGAGCCUUGCAGAGUCACCAUAGAGACCAGACUGGGAGAGAUGCUUUGUAGGGGAGCAUCUUAAGGCCAGCCACGGGGUGACAGAGAGAUGAGGGUGGUAUGUGGACACUGUGUUCCCCGAGGUACCUGGGAGUUUGUUGUAAUCACUGUGUAAAAUGGUCCUAAGCUUCUUUCACUGGGCAGUUAUUAAGGGGAGCUAGCUCUGCUCUCCAGAUCAGGAGCCUUCUGUGCCGACUGAAACCUCAUUCUCUUUCAUUCAUCGUCUUUUGAAGUUCUAAGAAUGAGUUCGUGUGAGGUGGCCCUUUGAGUGCCUAGGUUAACUGGGACUUUAGUGAUACUGAGACUUUGAUGUCUUUCAUGUAUAUUCCCCAUUUAUUGGGUAGGACUGUACUUCAUUGCCAAGCUCAUUAAUACACACAAACAUGGUUUAAUAGAGGCACGAAUGCAUGGUGGACAUGGCUGUCCCUCUCUUUAAGGCUAUGUAUGUAUUUAUUUUGGAAUAUCCAUGAAGAAUUUCUGAUUUCGUAAACAGAUUUAAAAGUUAUAUCAAGGAAAGAUAAUGACAACUACGUCACGAUACAGAACAAAGGACAUGGGGCAGGGUCUGGGUUCAAGCAUGUAUGUGUGACUUCAUUUAUCCUCAUGACAGACUUUGGAAUCUGUUUUCUACCCAUUUCUUAGAUGAGUAAAUGGAGGCCUCUAGAGGGGGGAAAUGGCUCACCCAGGACCACGGUUAGGAAGCAAGAGUGGCAGUAGAAGAAGCCAAGCCUGGCUUCCAAGUUCACACUUAAUCCUCCAGGAUGCUCUCACAGCUGUUGCGCUACUGUGCCGGGAGCCCACGGUGAUUUUGAUUAUUUAAUCAGCUGCAAACCGCUCCGCCGGGUCUGAAGCAAGCUUCCCAGUGCUAGCGAGCUCGGACUCGGCCAGACUCAACAGGACCGUCUGCCAUGCCAGGUCCUCUCUACCUUGACCUCGGACCCCCGCUUCCCUUUCUCUUUGCCUAGAUCAUGGGGAUAAAACCGACAGGUGCUUGGCCUCC